rnacentral:rRNA from 1 species
UACGUAGGGGGCAAGCGUUGUCCGGAAUCAUUGGGCGUAAAGAGCGCGUAGGCGGCCCAGUAAGUCCGCUCUGAAAGUCAGGGGCUCAACCCCUGAAUGCGGGUGGAUACUGCUGGGCUAGAGUCCGGAAGAGGCGAGUGGAAUUCCUGGUGUAGCGGUGAAAUGCGCAGAUAUCAGGAGGAACACCUAUUGCGAAGGCAGCUCGCUGGGACGUAACUGACGCUGAGACGCGAAAGCGUGGGGAGCAAACAGG